rnacentral:rRNA from 1 species
AUUGAACGCUGGCGGCAGGCUUAACACAUGCAAGUCGAGCGAGCGGCGGACGGGUGAGUAAUGUCUGGGAAACUGCCUGAUGGAGGGGGAUAACGAAUGGCAAAGGUAGCUCAUACCGCAUACCAUCAGAUGUGCCCAGAUGGGAUUAUCGAGGAGGAGGGGUAAUGGCUCACAUAGGCGACGAUCCCUAGCUGGUCUGAGAGGAUUACCAGCCACACGGGAACGGAGACACGGUCCAGACUCCUACGGGAGGCAGCAGUGGGGAAUAUUGCACAAUGGGCGCAAGCCUGAUGCAGCCAUGCCGCGUGUGUGAAGAAGGCCUUCGGGUUGUAAAGCACUUUCAGCGAGGAGGCGUUACUCGCAGAAGAAGCACCGGCUAACUCCGUGCCAGCAGCCGCGGUAAUAC